ACGGGUGAGUAACACGUGGGCAACCUGCCCUUGAGACUGGGAUAACUUCGGGAAACCGGAGCUAAUACCGGAUAAUAUAAGGAACCUCCUGGUUCCUUGUUGAAAGAUGGUUUCGGCUAUCACUUAAGGAUGGGCCCGCGGCGCAUUAGCUAGUUGGUGAGGUAACGGCUCACCAAGGCGACGAUGCGUAGCCGACCUGAGAGGGUGAUCGGCCACACUGGGACUGAGACACGGCCCAGACUCCUACGGGAGGCAGCAGUAGGGAAUCUUCCACAAUGGACGAAAGUCUGAUGGAGCAACGCCGCGUGAGUGAUGAAGGCCUUCGGGUCGUAAAGCUCUGUUGUUAGGGAAGAACAAGUGCGAGAGUAACUGCUCGCACCUUGACGGUACCUAACCAGAAAGCCACGGCUAACUACGUGCCAGCAGCCGCGGUAAUACGUAGGUGGCAAGCGUUAUCCGGAAUUAUUGGGCGUAAAGCGCGCGCAGGUGGUUUCUUAAGUCUGAUGCGAAAGCCCACGGCUCAACCGUGGAGGGUCAUUGGAAACUGGGGAACUUGAGUGCAGAAGAGGAAAGUGGAAUUCCA
rnacentral:rRNA from 1 species